rnacentral:rRNA from 1 species
UACGUAGGGUGCGAGCGUUGUCCGGAAUUACUGGGCGUAAAGAGCUCGUAGGUGGUUUGUCGCGUUGUUCGUGAAAUCUCACGGCUUAACUGUGAGCGUGCGGGCGAUACGGGCAGACUUGAGUACUGCAGGGGAGACUGGAAUUCCUGGUGUAGCGGUGGAAUGCGCAGAUAUCAGGAGGAACACCGGUGGCGAAGGCGGGUCUCUGGGCAGUAACUGACUGAGGAGCGAAAGCGUGGGGGAGCGAAACAGG